UAACGUUUCAUCCUUCAUCCCCAUCUCCAUCUCACGGUGUGUACCCUCAAUCCCCGGAAUAGAACGAUCCCUAUUUGCUUAUACUACUAACGAUAUUUCAGGGUUAAAUUAUGCGCUUGCUUUGAGCGCGUCAUUAACCUUCAGGACUCCAACAUCUAGGCUUCGGUUACGGUUGGUUCCGUACUAAAAAUCUUGGAACCAAAACUGGAACUAGCCUUUUUAGAUCGGUUUGGUUUGCCACUUUCAGAGACCAAAACUGAUCAGAAACCGAACUGAUCAUAAUCGGUUUAGCUUUGUUGGUUUUUCGAUUCCCUUACUCUGUAACGUAUAGCUCGAAGAACAGUUUUCUGAGUUCACUGUACUUUUUCAUUCAUAAUAGUUUUUUUCUU